UACCAGCACCCCGAGUGGUCGGGACGUUUAUUGGGCCUAAAGCAUCCGUAGCCGGUUCUACAAGUCUUCCGUUAAAUCCAACUGCCUAACAGGUGGGCUGCGGAAGAUACUAUAGAGCUAGGAGGCGGGAGAGGCAAGCGGUACUCGAUGGGUAGGGGUAAAAUCCGUUGAUCCAUUGAAGACCACCAGUGGCGAAGGCGGCUUGCCAGAACGCGCUCGACGGUGAGGGAUGAAAGCUGGGGGAGCAAACCGG
rnacentral:rRNA from 1 species